UACAGAGGGUGCAAGCGUUAAUCGGAAUUACUGGGCGUAAAGGGCGCGUAGGCGGGAUGUCAAGCUGGAUGUGAAAGACCUGGGCUUAACCUGGGGGUGUCAUUCAUAACUGACGUUCUAGAGUAGGGGAGAGGAGAGUGGAAUUCACAGUGUAGCGGUGAAAUGCGUAGAGAUCGGGAAGAACAUCGGUGGCGAAAGCGCUCUACUGGACGGUAUCUGACACUGAGGGACGAAAGCUAGGGGAGCGAAUGGG
rnacentral:rRNA from 1 species